CAGCCGCCGCGGUAAUACGAAGGGUGCAAGCGUUAAUCGGAAUUACUGGGCGUAAAGCGUGCGUAGGCGGUUUGUUAAGUCUGUUGUGAAAUCCCCGGGCUCAACCUGGGAAUGGCAAUGGAUACUGGCAAGCUAGAGUGUGUCAGAGGAUAGUGGAAUUCCCGGUGUAGCGGUGAAAUGCGUAGAGAUCGGGAGGAACAUCAGUGGCGAAGGCAGCCCCCUGGGCCAAUACUGACGCUCAUGCACGAAAGCGUGGGGAGCAAACAGGAUUAGAUACCCCGGUAGUCCCUGUCUCUUAUAC
rnacentral:rRNA from 1 species